AUGAACGCUGGCGGCGUGCUUAACACAUGCAAGUCGAACGAAGCAUUUAAGACAGAUUACUUCGGUUUGAAGUCUUUUAUGACUGAGUGGCGGACGGGUGAGUAACGCGUGGGUAACCUGCCUCAUACAGGGGGAUAGCAGCUGGAAACGGCUGGUAAUACCGCAUAAGCGCAAAGUAACACAUGGUACAGUGUGAAAAACUCCGGUGGUAUGAGAUGGACCCGCGUCUGAUUAGCUUGUUGGCGGGGUAACGGCCCACCAAGGCGACGAUCAGUAGCCGACCUGAGAGGGUGACCGGCCACAUUGGGACUGAGACACGGCCCAGACUCCUACGGGAAGCAGCAGUGGGGAAUAUUGCACAAUGGAGGAAACUCUGAUGCAGCGACGCCGCGUGAGUGAAGAAGUAGUUCGCUAUGUAAAGCUCUAUCAGCAGGGAAGAUAGUGACGGUACCUGACUAAGAAGCUCCGGCUAAAUACGUG
rnacentral:rRNA from 1 species